AUUGAGUGUUGAAGUGAUAAACCACUUAACGAGACGGAAACUAGGCAAGGACUUCACCUUUGUGUCCCUAUCCUUAUGGUUCACUAAGUUUAUUGUAAACUAUAUAAUGAACAAUAAUCACAUGCUCUCCAAAAUGUUUGAUGUGUAUAACACAAUUGAAAUAAGUUUCAAGAGAGAUAGUGGGAGUUUAGGGACCAUGACUAUUGUAGUCAAAGGAGAAGUCAAAUGAAGAAGAUAAAAUUAACUCCAAGGGAACAAACUUUCUUUAUGAAAGGAUGGACAUUGGAAAGGGUAUUUGCAAGAAAUGUCUUGCAAGUGUCAAGAACACACCUUUCGAAGGUGUUGUAAAUUGUUCUUGAAUAGUUCAAAACAGUUGGUUCUUCUACUUGAAUGUUUGAUUCCGUAUUAGUAACUAUGUUUUACAAUCGUUGUAAAAGUGUGGCUAAUAAGAAGUAGAAGAUUAAUGAGAGAAGAAAAAGUACUUCACAUUCGGAAAGUGAAUAAAAUAUAGAUUUCUGCGAAAGCAGAUGGUACUUACUUUCUCAUAUGAACUACCAAAGAAAUUGGAAAAACAUAGAUUGUCUUUAUAUUCCAAUUUUAAGGAACUAAAUUCCAUCACUGUGUGAAAUGGAUAAAUGUUUUGUUUGACAAAACAUUGUUCUUUAUUAAUCAAUGAUUGGAUUAUGGUAAUCUAAUUGAUUAUCUCUAUAGUAGAGAUAAUAUGGUAGUGUUAACUGUUUAGAAAAUAAUGAUGCUUAAAACCC
rnacentral:lncRNA from 1 species